rnacentral:rRNA from 1 species
AGAGUUUGAUCCUGGCUCAGAGCGAACGCUGGCGGCAGGCCUAACACAUGCAAGUCGAACGAACUCUUCGGAGUUAGUGGCGGACGGGUGAGUAACACGUGGGUAAUCUACCUUCGGGACUGGAAUAACCCAGGGAAACUUGGGCUAAUGCCAGAUAAGACCACGCGGCGAGAGUCGCGUGGGAAAAGCGGAGGACCUCUUCGGAGGCUUCGUACCUGAAGAUGAGCCCGCGGCCCAUCAGGUAGUUGGCGGGGUAAUGGCCCACCAAGCCGACGACGGGUAGCUGGUCUGAGAGGACGAUCAGCCACACUGGAACUGAGACACGGUCCAGACUCCUACGGGAGGCAGCAGUGGGGAAUUUUGCGCAAUGGGCGAAAGCCUGACGCAGCAACGCCGCGUGAGUGAUGAAGGUCUUCGGAUCGUAAAGCUCUGUCGGCAGGAAAGAUGGGUAACGUGGCCAAUAUCCACGAGACCUGACGGUACCUGCAAAGGAAGCACCGGCUAACUCUGUGCCAGCAGCCGCGGUAAGACAGAGGGUGCUAGCGUUGUUCGGAAUUAUUGGGCGUAAAGGGCGCGUAGGCGGCGUCGUAAGUCACGUGUGAAAUCCCAGGGCUUAACCCUGGAAGUGCGCGUGAUACUGCGAUGCUUGAGUCCCGGAGAGGGUGGUGGAAUUCCCAGUGUAGAGGUGAAAUUCGUAGAUAUUGGGAGGAAUACCGGUGGCGAAGGCGACCACCUGGACGGUGACUGACGCUGAGGCGCGAAAGCGUGGGGGGCAAACAGGAUUAGAUACCCUGGUAGUCC